GUUUGCUUUGAUAAGUUAUAUUUGCAUACUCGGUUUUUGAUAACAGAAAUUCCAUAUUGGGAAUUAUGGUGCCGCAUGCCAAGCUAGUGUAGAGGAGAGAAUUGAAUGGAAGAACUUAAGGCGCGAAAUUGAUUUAGAUGUAUGAAAUUAUUUCAAUAAUCGAAAAUUGUGAUAGUGAGAUACGAGCUCAAUGCUCAAUCUUGUAUUCAGGGGUUCGAUAUUAGAAAGCCCACGCCUCCUUAGAAGCCUCGCGUUUGAUGGAAUUUAGGAAGCGUUUUUAAAAGUGUUCAUUGGAUGCAGUUAUGGAGUGAUUCCAGAGAUUUGAAACUUCUUAUCUAGAUUAAAGGUGUUUUAUAAAUUGAA